rnacentral:misc_RNA from 1 species
UACGAGGGGUGCAAGCGUUAUUCGGAGUGAUUGGGCGUAAAGGGUGUGUAGGCGGUAUGUUAAGUCAAUUAGUUAAAUUUCUCAGCCCAACUGAGAAACUGCUGUUGAAACUAGCAUACUAGAGGAUGGAAGAGAGAAGUGGAAUUCUCGGAGUAGCGGUAAAAUGCGUAGAUCUCGAGAGGAACACCAAUGGCGAAGGCAGCUUCUUGGUCCAUUCCUGACGCUGAGGCACGAAAGCGUGGGUAGCAAACAGG